AGGGUUGAAAUACGAGAAAGGAACUGUAUUUUCCAAUACAGUUCCUUUGGGAAAUAUGGCGAUAAAGGCGCGCGGAAUAAACGGAUCGGACCCGGGGGCGGUACCCGGCGGCUCCACCAGAUCUUCAUCAUUGGCGAAGAGUGCGGGGCCGAAACAGGAUCGACGAACGCGUAAAGGCGGCAGCUUUCGCUCGGUGGGGAACCGCCGUUAUCGGUCCAAUCUGCACAAUUGCCAAUGACAAUCGUGCUCCGCUCGCCCUCGCUGCGUAAGCCAGCGCGGAAACGCGGAACCAUUAGCCCGGUGCUCUAGCAUGCACCGGCGGGGUUGCAGGCACCCGGCAACAGAAGCCUGCAUA
rnacentral:tmRNA from 1 species